GGUGAACGCUGGCGGCGUGCUUAACACAUGCAAGUCGAACGGUGAAGGCGGAGCUUGCUCUGCUGGAUCAGUGGCGAACGGGUGAGUAACACGUGAGCAAUCUGCCCCUGACUCUGGGAUAAGCGCUGGAAACGGCGUCUAAUACUGGAUACGAGCUGCGAAGGCAUCUUCAGCAGCUGGAAAGAAUUUCGGUCAGGGAUGAGCUCGCGGCCUAUCAGCUUGUUGGUGAGGUAAUGGCUCACCAAGGCGUCGACGGGUAGCCGGCCUGAGAGGGUGACCGGCCACAGGGGGAAAGAGACAGGGCCGAGACCCCUAGGGGGGGAAGAGGGGGGGAAUAUGGCAAAAGGGGAGAAGGCUUGAGGCAGCAGCGCGGGGGGGGGGAGGAGGGCUUGGGGUUGUUAAACCUCUUUGGGCGGGAAAGAAGGGAAAGGGAGGGUCCCUGAAAAAAAAGCGCGGGCUAACUACGUC
rnacentral:rRNA from 1 species